AGAGUUUGAUCCUGGCUCAGGAUGAACGCUGGCGGCGUGCCUAAUACAUGCAAGUCGAGCGAACGGACGAGGAGCUUGCUUCUCUGAUGUUAGCGGCGGACGGGUGAGUAACACGUGGAUAACCUACCUAUAAGACUGGGAUAACUUCGGGAAACCGGAGCUAAUACCGGAUAAUAUUUUGAACCGCAUGGUUCAAAAGUGAAAGACGGUCUUGCUGUCACUUAUAGAUGGAUCCGCGCUGCAUUAGCUAGUUGGUAAGGUAACGGCUUACCAAGGCAACGAUGCAUAGCCGACCUGAGAGGGUGAUCGGCCACACUGGAACUGAGACACGGUCCAGACUCCUACGGGAGGCAGCAGUAGGGAAUCUUCCGCAAUGGGCGAAAGCCUGACGGAGCAACGCCGCGUGAGUGAUGAAGGUCUUCGGAUCGUAAAACUCUGUUAUUAGGGAAGAACAUAUGUGUAAGUAACUGUGCACAUCUUGACGGUACCUAAUCAGAAAGCCACGGCUAACUACGUGCCAGCAGCCGCGGUAAUACGUAGGUGGCAAGCGUUAUCCGGAAUUAUUGGGCGUAAAGCGCGCGUAGGCGGUUUUUUAAGUCUGAUGUGAAAGCCCACGGCUCAACCGUGGAGGGUCAUUGGAAACUGGAAAACUUGAGUGCAGAAGAGGAAAGUGGAAUUCCAUGUGUAGCGGUGAAAUGCGCAGAGAUAUGGAGGAACACCAGUGGCGAAGGCGACUUUCUGGUCUGUAACUGACGCUGAUGUGCGAAAGCGUGGGGAUCAAACAGGAUUAGAUACCCUGGUAGUCCACGCCGUAAACGAUGAGUGCUAAGUGUUAGGGGGUUUCCGCCCCUUAGUGCUGCAGCUAACGCAUUAAGCACUCCGCCUGGGGAGUACGACCGCAAGGUUGAAACUCAAAGGAAUUGACGGGGACCCGCACAAGCGGUGGAGCAUGUGGUUUAAUUCGAAGCAACGCGAAGAACCUUACCAAAUCUUGACAUCCUUUGACAACUCUAGAGAUAGAGCCUUCCCCUUCGGGGGACAAAGUGACAGGUGGUGCAUGGUUGUCGUCAGCUCGUGUCGUGAGAUGUUGGGUUAAGUCCCGCAACGAGCGCAACCCUUAAGCUUAGU
rnacentral:rRNA from 1 species